rnacentral:misc_RNA from 1 species
GGCUCCUAAAGCGCUUAGCAUUAGAUAACCUUAUUAUGAAUACAUCCACGUUCAAUAAAUAUGAAAUAUGAACAGAAAAUUGAAAGCAACAUAAUGAAAUAGAAUUUUUAAUAUAAAAUGUAUUAUCGUAUUCAAACGGCACCUACUGACUUUAUCUUUCGAUUAUUCGUGGCCUAUCACGUAGCAUCGUAAAAUACUAGACGGAUUGUAGGUAAGGCAUCUGAACACACGUAUGUUGGCGUAAAACUUGCUCUAUUCAAACUUAACCGACUAAGCAGAAACAAUGGUCUACUCACGUUGAAAGCAAAGGGAAGGAAGAAAAAGAACUUUACACCUGUGGAAGUUAGUUAUGUUUCGUUAAUCAAUAGCUGCUGGAAGACGGUCACCAACCCGUCUGCCCAGCGUGGUGACUAUGGGCAAAACAC